rnacentral:rRNA from 1 species
UGGCUGGUGUUCUAACGUAGACCCGUGAUCCGGGUUGCGGACAGUGUCUGGUGGGUAGUUUGACUGGGGCGGUCUCCUCCCAAAGAGUAACGGAGGAGCACGAAGGUUGGCUAAUCCUGGUCGGACAUCAGGAGGUUAGUGCAAUGGCAUAAGCCAGCUUGACUGCGAGCGUGACGGCGCGAGCAGGUGCGAAAGCAGGUCAUAGUGAUCCGGUGGUUCUGAAUGGAAGGGCCAUCGCUCAACGGAUAAAAGGUACUCCGGGGAUAACAGGCUGAUACCGCCCAAGAGUUCAUAUCGACGGCGGUGUUUGGCACCUCGAUGUCGGCUCAUCACAUCCUGGGGCUGAAGUAGGUCCCAAGGGUAUGGCUGUUCGCCAUUUAAAGUGGUACGCGAGCUGGGUUUAGAACGUCGUGAGACAGUUCGGUCCCUAUCUGCCGUGGGCGCUGGAGAAUUGAGGGGGGCUGCUCCUAGUACGAGAGGACCGGAGUGGACGCAUCACUGGUGUUCGGGUUGUCAUGCCAAUGGCACUGCCCGGUAGCUAAAUGCGGAAGAGAUAAGUGCUGAAAGCAUCUAAGCACGAAACUUGCCCCGAGAUGAGUUCUCCCUGAGACCUUGAGUCUCCUGAAGGAACGUUGAAGACGACGACGUUGAUAGGUCGGGUGUGUAAGCGCAGCGAUGCGUUGAGCUAACCGAUACUAAUGAACCGUGAG